UGGUGGAGUGAUUUGUCUGCUUAAUUGCGUUAACGAACGAGACCUCAGCCUGCUAAAUAGUUGUGCGAACCUUCUGAAUGCGGGGUGAAGGGGACGGAGGCAGUAGCCGCUUUCGGGUGGCUGCACCUCCCCCCUGGAUCCUCUGAUGUGUUCGCAAUGGGCCGCUUUUCAGGUCCGACAUACUUCUUAGAGGGACUACCGGUAUCGAGCCGGGGGAAGUUUGAGGCAACAACA
rnacentral:rRNA from 1 species